GUUCAGGACGAACGCUGGCGGCGUGCUUAACACAUGCAAGUCGAACGGAAAGGCCCCUUCGGGGGUACUCGAGUGGCGAACGGGUGAGUAACACGUGGGCAAUCUGCCCUGCACUUCGGGAUAAGCCUGGGAAACUGGGUCUAAUACCGGAUAGGACCUUUAGACGCAUGUCUUUUGGUGGAAAGCUUUUGCGGUGUGGGAUGGGCCCGCGGCCUAUCAGCUUGUUGGUGGGGUGACGGCCUACCAAGGCGACGACGGGUAGCCGGCCUGAGAGGGUGUCCGGCCACACUGGGACUGAGAUACGGCCCAGACUCCUACGGGAGGCAGCAGUGGGGAAUAUUGCACAAUGGGCGCAAGCCUGAUGCAGCGACGCCGCGUGGGGGAUGACGGCCUUCGGGUUGUAAACCUCUUUCACCAUCGACGAAGGUUCGGGUUUUCUCGGAUUGACGGUAGGUGGAGAAGAAGCACCGGCCAACUACGUGCCAGCAGCCGCGGUAAUACGUAGGGUGCGAGCGUUGUCCGGAAUUACUGGGCGUAAAGAGCUCGUAGGUGGUUUGUCGCGUUGUUCGUGAAAUCUCACGGCUUAACUGUGAGCGUGCGGGCGAUACGGGCAGACUAGAGUACUGCAGGGGAGACUGGAAUUCCUGGUGUAGCGGUGGAAUGCGCAGAUAUCAGGAGGAACACCGGUGGCGAAGGCGGGUCUCUGGGCAGUAACUGACGCUGAGGAGCGAAAGCGUGGGGAGCGAACAGGAUUAGAUACCCUGGUAGUCCACGCCGUAAACGGUGGGUACUAGGUGUGGGUUUCCUUCCUUGGGAUCCGUGCCGUAGCUAACGCAUUAAGUACCCCGCCUGGGGAGUACGGCCGCAAGGCUAAAACUCAAAGGAAUUGACGGGGGCCCGCACAAGCGGCGGAGCAUGUGGAUUAAUUCGAUGCAACGCGAAGAACCUUACCUGGGUUUGACAUGCACAGGACGCGUCUAGAGAUAGGCGUUCCCUUGUGGCCUGUGUGCAGGUGGUGCAUGGCUGUCGUCAGCUCGUGUCGUGAGAUGUUGGGUUAAGUCCCGCAACGAGCGCAACCCUUGUCUCAUGUUGCCAGCGGGUAAUGCCGGGGACUCGUGAGAGACUGCCGGGGUCAACUCGGAGGAAGGUGGGGAUGACGUCAAGUCAUCAUGCCCCUUAUGUCCAGGGCUUCACACAUGCUACAAUGGCCGGUACAAAGGGCUGCGAUGCCGCAAGGUUAAGCGAAUCCUUUUAAAGCCGGUCUCAGUUCGGAUUGGGGUCUGCAACUCGACCCCAUGAAGUCGGAGUCGCUAGUAAUCGCAGAUCAGCAACGCUGCGGUGAAUACGUUCCCGGGCCUUGUACACACCGCCCGUCACGUCAUGAAAGUCGGUAACACCCGAAGCCAGUGGCCUAACCCUUUGGGAGGGAGCUGUCGAAGGUGGGAUCGGCGAUUGGGACGAAGUCGUAACAA
rnacentral:rRNA from 1 species